rnacentral:rRNA from 1 species
CAAGUCGAACGGGAUAUUAUUGGUAGCAAUACCAAUGAUGUUCAGUGGCGUAAGGGUGCGUAACACGUGGGCAAUCUGCCGAAGAGUGGGGGAUAGCUCGCCGAAAGGCGAAUUAAUACCGCAUGUGGCUUGCGAAGGAAUCUUCGCUGGGCCAAAGCCGGGUACCUAGCAAUAGGCCUGGCGCUCUUUGAUGAGCCCGCGGCCUAUCAGCUAGUUGGUGAGGUAACGGCUCACCAAGGCUAUGACGGGUAGCUGGUCUGAGAGGACGACCAGCCACACUGGAACUGAGACACGGUCCAGACACCUACGGGUGGCAGCAGUCGAGAAUUUUUCUCAAUGGGGGAAACCCUGAAGGAGCGACGCCGCGUGGAGGAUGAAGGUCUUCGGAUUGUAAACUCCUGUCAUUAGGGAACAAUUGUCCGCGAUUAACUGUCGCGGGCUUGAUAGUACCUGAAGAGGAAGAGACGGCUAACUCUGUGCCAGCAGCCGCGGUAAUACAGAGGUCUCAAGCGUUGUUCGGAUUCAUUGGGCGUAAAGGGUGCGUAGGCGGCGGGGCAAGUCAGGUGUGAAAUCUCGGGGCUUAACUCCGAAACUGCAUUUGAUACUGCCUUGCUAGAGUACUGGAGAGGAGAUUGGAAUUUACGGUGUAGCAGUGAAAUGCGUAGAUAUCGUAAGGAAGACCAGUGGCGAAGGCGAAUCUCUGGACAGUUACUGACGCUGAGGCACGAAGGCCAGGGGAGCAAACGGGAUUAGAUACCCCGGUAGUCCUGGCAGUAAACGGUGCAUGUUUGGUGUGGGAGGAUUCGACCCCUUCUGUGCCGGAGCUAACGCGUUAAACAUGCCGCCUGGGGAGUACGGUCGCAAGAUUAAAACUCAAAGAAAUUGACGGGGGCCC